UGAAUACGAGGCACUAAGGUGCUGAAGUAGUGUAUGUCAUACUUCCAAGAAAAGCUUGCACUAUCGUAAGAUAAAAAUGCCUGUACCAUAACCGACACAGGUGGGUAGGUAGAGUAUACUAAGGGGCGCGAGAUAACUCUCUCUAAGGAACUCGGCAAAAUAACUCCGUAACUUCGGGAGAAGGAGUGCCUUAUUCUAUAAGGUUGCAAUAACAAGAUCCAAGCAACUGUUUAUCAAAAACACAGGUCUCCGCUAAGUCGUAAGACGAUGUAUGGGGGCUGACGCCUGCCCAGUGCCAGAAGGUUAAAGAAGUCGGUUAGCAAUUGCGAAGCUGGUAACUGAAGCCCUGGUGAACGGCGGCCGUAACAAUAACGGUCCUAAGGUAGCGAAAUUCCUUGUCGGGUAAGUUCCGACCCGCACGAAAGGCGUAAUGAUUUGGAUACUGUCUCGGAGAGGGACUCGGUGAAAUAGACUUGUCUGUGAAGAUGCGGACUACCUGCACCAGGACAGAAAGACCCUAUUAAGCUUUACUGUAACUUGAAAUUGAAAUUGGACUUUAUUCGCGCAGUAUAGGUGGGAGGCGUUGAUUAUAAUCUUGUGGGAUUAUUGGAGCCAUUAGUGACAUACCACUCUUGUAAUGUUAGAUUUCUAACUUUGAAUCAUGAUCUGGUCAAAGAACAGUUUCAGGCGGGCAGUUUGACUGGGGCGGUCGCCUCCUAAAUGGUAACGGAGGCGUACAAAGGUUUCCUCUGAACGGGUAGAAAUCGUAUCUAGAGUGUAAUGCAUAAGGAAGCUUGACUGUGAGACCUACAAGUCGAGCAGGGACGAAAGUCGGUCUUAGUGAUCUGACGGUACUGAGUGGAAAGGCCGUCACUCAACGGAUAAAAGUUACUCUAAGGAUAACAGGCUGAUCUCCCCCAAGAGUUCACAUCGACGGGGAGGUUUGGCACCUCGAUGUCGGCUCAUCGCAUCCUGGGGCGGUAGUACGUCCCAAGGGUUGGGCUGUUCGCCCAUGAAAGCGGUACGCGAGCUGGGUUCGGAACGUCGUGAGACAGUUCGGUCCAUAUCCGGUGUAGGCGUUAGAAUAUUGAGAGGAGCCUUCUUUAGUACGAGAGGACCGAGAAGGACAUACCUCUGGUGUACCAGUUAUCGUGCCAACGGUAAACGCUGGGUAGCUAUGUAUGGAGUGGAUAACCGCUGAAAGCAUCUAAGUGGGAAGCCCACCUCAAGAUAAGUAUUCC
rnacentral:rRNA from 1 species